GACGAACGCUGGCGGCGUGCUUAACACAUGCAAGUCGAACGGAAAGGCCCUGCUUUUGUGGGGUGCUCGAGUGGCGAACGGGUGAGUAACACGUGAGUAACCUGCCCUUGACUUUGGGAUAACUUCAGGAAACUGGGGCUAAUACCGGAUAGGAGCUCCUGCUGCAUGGUGGGGGUUGGAAAGUUUCGGCGGUUGGGGAUGGACUCGCGGCUUAUCAGCUUGUUGGUGGGGUAGUGGCUUACCAAGGCUUUGACGGGUAGCCGGCCUGAGAGGGUGACCGGCCCCAUUGGAACGAGGAUACGGCCCGGAGUCCUACGGGAGGCAGCAGGGGGGAAUAUUGCACAAUGGGCGGAGGCCUGAGGCAGCAACGCCGCGUGCGGAAUGACGGCCUUCGGGUUGUAAACCGCUUUCGCCUGUAACGAAGCGUAAGGAACGGAAAUGGGUAAAAAGGCACCGGCAAACUACGU
rnacentral:rRNA from 1 species